rnacentral:rRNA from 1 species
CCUACGGGCGGCAGCAGUGAGGAAUAUUGGUCAAUGGGCGGGAGCCUGAACCAGCCAAGUCGCGUGAGGGACGACGGUCCUAUGGAUUGUAAACCUCUUUUGUCGGGGAACAAAGGCGCCCACGGGUGGGCGGAUGAGUGUACCCGAAGAAAAAGCAUCGGCUAACUCCGUGCCAGCAGCCGCGGUCAUACGUAGGAUCCGAGCAUUAUCCGGAGUGACUGGGUGUAAAGAGUUGCGUAGGUGGCAUAAUAAGUAGCUAGUGAAACCUGGUGGCUCAACCAUUCAGACUAUUAGCUAAACUGUUAAGCUCGAGACCGUUAGGGGUAACUGGAAUUUCUAGUGUAGGAGUGAAAUCCGUAGAUAUUAGAAGGAACACCAAUAGCGUAGGCAGGUUACUGGGACGGUUCUGACACUAAGGCACGAAAGCGUAGGGAGCAAACGGGAUUAGAUACCCUUGUAGUC